UAAGUACUCCCUCCGUUCGGAAUUACUUGUCACAAAAAUGGAUAUAUCUACAACUAAAAUACAUCUAGAUACAUUUAUUUUUUGGACGAGUAAUUCCGAACGAAGGAAGUAUCAA
rnacentral:pre_miRNA from 1 species